rnacentral:rRNA from 1 species
CAGCCGCCGCGGGAAUACGAAGGGGGCUAGCGUUGUUCGGAAUCACUGGGCGUAAAGGGUGCGUAGGCGGGAUCUUAAGUCUGGGGUGAAAUCCCGAGGCUCAACCUCGGAACUGCCUUUGAUACUGGGGUCCUUGAGUCCGGAAGAGGUGAGUGGAACUGCGAGUGUAGAGGUGAAAUUCGUAGAUAUUCGCAAGAACACCGGUGGCGAAGGCGGCUCACUGGUCCGGAACUGACGCUGAGGCACGACAGCGUGGGGAGCAAACAGGAUUAGAUACCCGGGUAGUCCCUGUCUCUUAUAC